rnacentral:rRNA from 1 species
CGCCCUUGAGUUUGAUCAUGGCUCAGGACGAACGCUGGCGGCGUGCCUAACACAUGCAAGUCGAGCGAUGAAGCCCUUCAGGGCUGAUUAGCGGCGGACGGGUGAGUAACACGUGGGUAACCUGCCUCAUAGAGGGGGAUAGCCUCCCGAAAGGGAGAUUAAUACCGCAUAAUAUAUUUUGGUUGCAUGACCGAAAUAUCAAAGGAGUAAUCCGCUAUGAGAUGGACCCGCGGCGCAUUAGCUAGUUGGUGAGGUAAGGGCUCACCAAGGCGACGAUGCGUAGCCGACCUGAGAGGGUGAUCGGCCACAUUGGAACUGAUACACGGUCCAGACUCCUACGGGAGGCAGCAGUGGGGAAUAUUGCGCAAUGGAGGAAACUCUGACGCAGCAACGUUUUUUUUAUGAUGAAGGCCUUAGGGUUGUAAAGUUCUGUCUUCUGGGACGAUAAUGACGGUACCAGAGGAGGAAGCCACGGCUAACUACGUGCCAGCAGCCGCGGUAA